UACGGAGGGUGCAAGCGUUGCUCGGAAUUACUGGGCGUAAAGCGCGUGUAGGCGGCCCACUAAGUCUGAUGUGAAAGCCCGGGGCUCACCCCCGGAAGUGCAUUGGAAACUGGUGGACUCGAGUCCCGGAGAGGAGAGUGGAAUUCCUGGUGUAGCGGUGAAAUGCGUAGAUAUCAGGAGGAACACCGGUGGCGAAGGCGGCUCUCUGGACGGUGACUGACGCUGAGACGCGAAAGCGUGGGGAGCAAACAGG
rnacentral:rRNA from 1 species